CCUACGGGUGGCAGCAGUGAGGAAUAUUGGUCAAUGGACGAGAGGCUGAACCAGCCAAGUAGCGUGAAGGAUGACGGCCCUAUGGGUUGUAAACUUCUUUUAUAUGGGAGUAAAACAGGGUAUGCAUACCCUCUCGUGUGUACCAGAUGAAUAAGCAUCGGCUAACUCCGUGCCAGCAGCCGCGGUAAUACGGAGGAUCCGAGCGUUAUCCGGAUUUAUUGGGUUUAAAGGGAGCGUAGGUGGAUUGUUAAGUCAGUGGUGAAAGUUUGAGGCUCAACCGUAAAAUUGCAGUUGAAACUGGCAGUCUUGAGUACACUAGAGGUGGGCGGAAUUCGUGGUGUAGCGGUGAAAUGCUUAGAUAUCACGCAGAACUCCGAUUGCGAAGGCAGCUCACCGGACUGCAACUGACACUGAUGCUCGAAAGUGUGGGUAUCGAACAGGAUUAGAUACCCCUGUAGUC
rnacentral:rRNA from 1 species